CAUACGGGUUGAAGCAUGACCGUAAGGACAUGUGGACAGUAUGGGAGUGAGAAUGUUGGCAUGAGUAGCGAGAUGUGGGUGAGAAUCCCACAGGCCGUAAACCCAAGGUUUCCAGGGGAAGGUUCGUCCGCCCUGGGUUAGUCGGGACCUAAGCUGAGGCCGAAAGGCGUAGGUGAUGGACAACAGGUUGAUAUUCCUGUACUACCGAUAACCGUUUGAGAGAAGGGAUGACACAGUAGGAUAAGCUAAGCACACUGUUGGUUAUGUGUGCCCAAGCAUUGAGGCAGUCAAAGCAGGCAAAUCCGCUUUGAUAAUGCUGGGAUGUGAUGGGGAGCGAAAUUUAGUAGCGAAGUAGCUGAUUUCACACUGUCAAGAAAAGUCUCUAUCGAGGUUAAAGGUACCCGUACCGCAAACCGACACAGGUGGGUGAGGAGAGUAUCCUAAGGCCAGCGAGAGAACUGUUGUUAAGGAACUCGGCAAAAUGACCCCGUAACUUAGGGAUAAGGGGUGCCACCAUCCGGUGGCCGCAGAGAAUAGGCCCAAGCGACUGUUUACCAAAAACAUAGGUUUCUGCUAAGUCGCAAGACGAUGUAUAGGAGCUGACGCCUGCCCGGUGCUGGAA
rnacentral:rRNA from 1 species